rnacentral:lncRNA from 1 species
GGGGGUCUCUGAUGAGACCGGUCCCUGGCAGGCAGGGACCGGUUCCCGAACGUUAGCCCAGCGAGAAUUAGCCGAAAUUUGGCUAAGUCCCGAGAACCCAGCUCUCGGGAACCGGUCUCUCAAACAGGGACCGGUCUCCCGGGGACCAGUCUCUCAGGCAGGAACCGGUUCCCGAACGCGAAAUCCCUUCUGCCUGGUUGUGCAGCUCUCGGGGACCGGUCUCCCCGACCUAGGACCGGUCCCUCACUGCGAAAAUGGCCCAGGAAGGGUUGUUUCAGGAAAUGAAAAGUUGAGGGGGCUAUCUGCAAAAUGGCCUAUAUGAGGGCUUGGGGACCCCUCUCUUCCUCUCAUUUGCUCUCUCUCCCUUUCACACUCUUUCCCUCUCUCUCUUUAGAAAGGAAAAGAAGGAAAAGAAGAAGGAAAGGAAGAGAAAGGAGAAGAAAGAAGAGGAGAGGAAGGAGAAGAAGUAGGAGAAGAAAAAGACAAAGGUGGAGAUCACCUUCCUCAUCUACUUCUUCUUCUUGGACUAAGCUUUUGAAGGUAAGCUUCUAGCCCUACAAUGGUGGAUUUCUUACAAUAGGGUUUUAUGGUUUAGAAAUGGGUCGAAUGGAACCUAUUGAAGGUUCGAGCUUGAAAUCGAAGCUCGCACCGCGGAUUUCUCCAUUGUUGAGACCUAGGGCUCAGAAUUGUGAUUUUGCCAAAUCUAGAGUUUUGAUCUAAUUUGAUGGGUCGCAAACCUAAUUGCUAGGUCUCUGAACACGUCGGCGAAGACAGUUCGUCGAUCCGUCGAGUAGGUGCGAAGUUAUCGCCUAAGGAGACCCUCGGAGCGUCGUUCUCGUCUGGAAGGCCAACGAGGCGUCGAAACGUCGGCGAAUCGCAUUCGAAGAGUCAUGGUAUCGCCACGAGGUGGGGAAGUGCCAUCCCGAAGCAGUCGAACUGCUUUCUAUGCCUGAGUACUAAUGUUGAUCAAUUACAUAUUGUGAUAUAGCAUUAUAGGGUGUUAAAUGUAAUUAUACAUAUCUUUGCAUGCUAGUGAUAGUUUGGGUUGGGGAUACAAUGAAUGAGAACCUAGUAUGCAUGAGUGGAAUACUAUGAGAUAGUUCGCCCCAUAUAUGAUGAAUAUGUCUAUGUGAAUAAGAACCUAGUGUAUUGGAAGCUAGUGUAUCAAGAACUUGUCAAGAGAACGAGUGGCAUCUAGUUAACAGUGAACCCAGGACGAGUGGCACUUAGUUAAUAUUGAACUUGAGAACUUUAGUGUGAUUGAGACACUAUGUGAUUGAGCAGAAGAACACAUGAUGUUAUAGUGACACCAAUUCUAGUUGGUUAGGGUGUUCCCAGUUUACGAGAUUGGAUCGAGCUCACUUAGCUUGUCUGCACCUAUGGAGGUAGCUCCUCACAGGUAGUGCACUCCGGAGUUUGUCACGCGAGGGGGCCAGUGUAGUGCCCUUGGACCAGUGUAGUGUCCGUAGGCGGUCUCGGGGUAGGUGAAUAGCUAGCCACCUCCCCUAUGAGACUUAGAGAUGUGAGACUGUGAGCGAACCUUACGUUCGCCGAGAGAUUGGGUAAUUGGAUGAAUGAUUUCAAUAUUGAGCAUGGUAGUAUGAUAGCCAGCCUUCUUACUAUGAGUCCCAUGCAUGCAUCAUAGUGGAUUGAGGCAUUGAUAGAUCAUAGUUCAUAGUUGCUCCUUACUAUUAAUGCUUUCAGUAUUACAUCUCUAUCUAUCUGCAUAUCUAUCUGUGCCUGCUUAGAUCUAGUGGGGAGAUCGGCAGAGUCGGCGGCCGAACCCACUGGGAACUAUUCGUAGUUCUCACUCCACCAUGUUGCAGGUCCGAGUUCGAGUGCCCCUAGUGAGGAUCGCGGCAAGAGCGUAGCGCCCUAGUGAUAUUAGUAGAGGUUUACUUUCCUUUAUGCAUUAGCUACACCCUGUACCUAUUUUGAAAGUAGAUGAUGUAUAGGGUGAGGAUUUUAAAGUGAUUGUACAUAUACUCUGGAAGAAUGUAAAAGAUGAAAUAAUUGUAUAAAGUUUAAUGAGUUAAUAGUUAAGUAUAUCUAUCUUUAUCACUUGUAUGCUUUACAUAUGUUGCUUGCUCUUGAUUGAUAGGCACUGUUUGUGCUCUCGUGGUUGUUGUAUGAUUGUGUAUGUAUUCAAGUUGUUUUCCUGGGAACUUGUUGUACACAAUCUAGCCGUUGGAGCCUUUGUCACGACCCAAGCUCCGCCAAUUUGGUCGGAUUCGAGCACGCGACAGACGCCGAACAGACAGUACCUCCCCUGUCCGCCCAAGGCUCCAACAACAAGUAUAAUGCAAGCAAAACCUCAAGGAGAAUUGCGAGAUAUACAAGGUUUGCACGAGAGAAAACAACAACUACAGUGAAAGCAUCGAAACUAAUUAAACAUCCAAUAUACAUGUCAUUUGAUUACAUUUGAAUCAAACACAAGUAGUUCAACACAUUUACAUUCAUUACAUUAUUUCUUGCAUUACCCAAAAUAAAAUUUACAUUACAUUGCUUUUACCUUACAAUUUCAACAUAGAAAAGUUGAAUACAUCAAGAGUAUGGUAUGCCUAUGUAACUCCGGGGUCGCUAUCUACGGCGCAACUCCCUUGCCUCGAUCCUCCGCCGCCCCGCUCGCGUACAGAUCUGCAGGGUUAGUGGUAAUGAGAACUAGAACGAAGUUCCCAGUGGGUUCGGCCACCGACCACGCCGAUUCGCCCACUAGGUCUAUUCAGGCAUAUGUAUUUCAAUAAAGAAGAAUAACAAACCAACUAAUGUACUUCUAAUACAAUGCCUGUAAGAAACAAUUCAUAGAUAGAUAUUCAUAUUCAAAUACAUGAUUACUAUGCAUGCAUGUCCUUUUUCACUUUCCUUUGGCCUUUACCCAAUUCAACCUGGGGUGCUCCUGGUUUACCCCAACUCACAGUCCACAUAUCCAUCUAAUGGGGGAGGCACAAGGCACUACCACCCGAAGGAUCUUCGCCGGGUACGUCCACCCGUGGUGCAUUUCUUCUCCGGAGUACACCGCUCGUGGAGGAGCGACCUCACACAAGCCGGAACCAAUACAUGUGAGUAUGAUCCCAUCCUCAAAUUUUGAGGAGGUAUGGCCAACCUGUCACAAUUCUCACUGUCUCAAUGUCGCUGAAUGGUUAUUACCUAUUCAUGCACAUACUGUCACUUGCCAAUGUCACGGUGGUCCUGAUGCCACAACACACAAUGUCACUUGGGUUAAACCUUGUUUAACUAUUCACUUAUCGAUGUCAAUCAAGUCACUAAUGUCCAUGUUGCCUUUGUUUACUACGGUCACGGUCAUUUCUUACAUUCACAUGCAUAUAGGGUCUUUCACUAUCUUUGUUCACAUGGAUCUAUAUCAUUACAAUAAUCUUACGCAGAUAAUUGUCACAACCAAUAUAUACUAUUCAUUACCCUACAUGCAAGAAUGCUAUAUAUCAACAUGCUCAAAAAGGGACAUAGACAUAGAAAGAGAUCCGGUAUUUCCGGAUAGCACCCCCCACCUUUAUGUGUCACAAGGAUACCACGGUUCCGAUUCCACGAUUUUUAGACUUGUUCGCCGCGAGCAACGACGAUCUGUACUAUUUCUGCUUCUUUUUCCAAUAUCUUCACGCACGCUCGUCGUAUCGCCGAACCGAGUGCACCAAUGCAUUUGUAGACCUACCAAUUAGGUUAAAAUGAAAUCAAAACCAAGUUUGAACUUCAAAAUCACAAAACCCUAAAUAUGGGUCCUUCACAACAUCACCUUCUCCAAUCAAGCCCCUAGCUUGACAAAACAUGGAGGAAAAGCCACCAUAGACCUCUCUAGAUGCUUCAACUAGAAGCAAAAAAUCCAAACCUAGCUCAAACUCAUAAGAACUCACCUUUGGAGUCCAAAGCUUCCCUUCAAAAGCCUUCCCUAGCUUGCUCUUCACCUUGGAGAGCUUCUUCUCCAAGCUUUUCUCCUCCAAACCCUCCUUGGUCCAAGCCCUAGAGAGAGAGGGAGAGAGAGAGGAGAGGUUUUUAGAGAGAGAGAGGGAAAGGUUUAUGUUGAGGUGUGAGGAAAUGAGAGCUAACCCUAACCCUUAGCUCUAUACAACCAUCUAAUUCAACAUUUGCACUUAAACCCCUCUCAAUUUCAUAUUUGCAAACAGCCCUCACUGGGCACUUUCGGGCUCGGGGACCGGUCUCUCCCCUUCAGGGACCGGUUCCCGAGAGCUGUCCUGCAACCUGCGCAGAAGGGGACCGUUCUCUCCCCGAUGAAACCGGUCUCGGGGGACCGGUCUCUCACCUAGGGACCGGUUCCCGAGAGCUCAGUUUCCAGGACUUAGCCGAUUUUUUCCUCUACUCGGUUUACCAACAUUCGGGAACCGGUCUCUCACCGAAGGGACCGGUCCCCUAGAGUAAAAUUCUGGAAAUUUUCCAGAAUUGCAGUUUCACUCUCUCGGAUCCCUUUAUACUUUAUAUAUAGGCUCCAAUUCACUUUUAGCCUAUAGUAACUCAUUCCUUUCUGCGCUCCGCUCGUUUUGACGGGACUCGACUCAACCUACGGGGUAGUGAUACGUUACAUUCCCCACCCCUUAAAAUUAUUUCGGCCGCGAAACUAAUUCACUCGUAAUUCAACAUCCAUACCUCAUCUUAGUUCCUCGAAGAGAUGAGGAUGACGUUCCUUCAUCACGUCCUCAAGCUCCCACGUUUCUUCUCUAUCGCCGUGUUCGCUCCAAUGGAUCUUAACAUACGAAAUUUCUCGAUUCCGUAGCUUUCGCACCUCCCGAUCAACAAUGUACGCCGGGAACUCCUCGUAGGCCAUGUCCUCUUGAAGUUCUGUCGGUAUAUACGAGAGAACAUGCUCCGGAUCGUGAACAUACUUGGGGAGAUUAGACACAUGGAACACAUCGUGCACCCCCGCAAGCCUCGGCGGUAAUGCUACUCUGUAGGCCACCGCGCCAACUCUUUCUAAGAUCUCGAAGGGUUCGACAAAUCGGGGACUUAACUUUCCCCGGACACCAAACCUCUUAACACCGCGCAUCGGCGAUACCUUCAGAAACACGCAGUCUCCAACCGCGAACUCGAUGUCCUUCCUUCGCUUAUCGGCAUAGCUCUUGUGCCUUGAUUGCGCCGUCACUAACCUUUGCCGGGCAAGACGAACUUUCUCCUAUGCCUCCCGAACAACUUCUGGGCCAAGAACAACUUUCUCGCCCACCUCGCUCUAAUGAAUUGGCUAGCGACACUUCCUUCCAUAUAGAGCUUCGAAUGGCGCCAUUGCAAUACUUUCUUGAUAGCUAUUGUUGUAUGCAAAUUCCGCCAUCGAUAAGUAAUCGUGCCACUCUCCACGAUAGUCAAGCACACAUGCUUGCAACAUGUCCUCGAGUAUCUGAAUGGUCCUCUUAGAUUGUCCAUCACUCUGAGGAUGAAACGCCGUGCUAAAAUCGAGCCGCGUGCCUAGAGUAUCUUGCAAGCUCCUCCAGAAAUGAGAAGUGAACCGAGGAUCUCGAUCUAAUACGAUCGACAUGGGAACCCCAUGUAGUCUCACUAUCUCGUCCAAGUGAACCUGGGCCAACUUAUCUCCUGACCACGUGGUGUGGAUCGGCAAAAAAGUGAGCCGAUUUCGUCAAAAGGUCCACAACCACCCAUAUGGCGUCAUGUCCAGCCUGCGAUCGGGGCAGCCCGACCACAAAGUCCAUCGCGACAUUCUCCCACUUCCACACGGGGAUCGGUAAGCUUUGCAGCUUCCCCGUGGAAAAACGACACUCGACUUUUACUUGUUGGCACGUCAAACAUUGCGCCACGAAUUCUCCGAUGUCCUUCUUCAUACCCGGCCACCAAUAAUGCAACUUUAAAUCCUUGUACAUCUUAGUGCCGCCCGGGUGAAUACUAUACGAGGAAUGAUGCGCCUCUUGCAACACCAUCUUACGAAUCUCAUCGUCCUUGGGUACGCACAAUCAGUUCCUGAAUCUAAGUGCACCAUCGGCUCCCACGCCGAAAUCACCGGCGCGCCCAUCACUAACAUCGUUCCACACCUUUUGGAGAUACGGAUCAUCAACUUACCGCUCCUUGAUUUGCUCCAACAAGGUCGGUCGAACUAUUAGUGCCGCCAAGAUAGUCGGAACUUCCGGCGCCACUACCUCCAAUCCAAACCACUGCAUUUCCUUAUGUAAUGCCGGCUGAUUUGUAAUCGUCGUCGCCAAGUUCUCAGCAAAUUUCCUACUCAGCGCAUCGGCCACCACGUUGGCUUUACCGGGGUGGUAUAGGAUAGUAAGAUCAUAAUCCUUUAUCAAUUCCAGCCAACGCCGCUGCCACAUAUUCAACUCUUUCUGGGUGAACAAAUACUUGAGGCUUUUGUGAUCGGUAUAUACCUCACAAUGCUCACCAUAUAGAUAAUGCCUCCAAAGCAUCAGCGCGAAAAUGACCGCCGCAAGCUCAAGAUCGUGGGUCGGGUAGUUCUUCUCGUAGCCUUUCAACUAGCGCGAAACAUACGCAAUGACUCGCCCAUUUUGCAUAAGAACACACCCAAGAUCGGUGUAAGAAGCAUCACUAUACACCAUGAAGCUCUCUCCCGGCGUUGGCAAAGCAAGUACCGGAGUAGACGUCAACUUCUUCUUCAACUCUUGGAAGCUUCGGUCGCAACCUUCGCUCCAAUCAAACCUUACUCCUUUGUUCGUAAGGUGUGUGGGAGGAGUGGUCAACUUCGCAAACCCCUCAACAAAACGCCUAUAAUAGCCCGCCAAUCCAAGAAAACUGCGGACUUCCGCCACGCUCGUAGGAUGGGGCCAAUCUCGAAUCGCCUCAAUCUUCCUCGGGUCCACCGAGAUCCCGCUCCCGAAUAUCACAUGACCUAAAAAGGUCACCUCCGGAAGCCAGAAUUUGCAUUUCUUGAGUUUAGCAUAAAGCUUCUCAUCUCGGAGUAUUUGCAACACGGUCCUUAGAUGUUCCUCGUGCUCUUCUUCACUCCGCGAAUACACCAACACGUCGUCGAUAAACACCACGACGCACUUAUCCAACAAUGGUCGAAAGACCCUAUUCAUCAAGUCCAUAAACGCUGUCGGGGCAUUGGUAAGCCCAAACGGCAUCACCGUAAACUCAUAAUGGCCAUACCGCGUACGGUACGCCGUUUUAUGCAGGUCUUUCGGUCGGAUUUUCAACUGAUGAUAUCCCGACUGAAGAUCUAUCUUCGAGUAUACCCGCAACCCCUGCAACUGAUCGAACAGGUCAUCUAUUCUUGGUAACGGGUACUUGUUCUUGAUUGUCACCUUGUUCAACUCGCGAUAAUCAACGCAGAGUCGAAGGGUGCCGUCCUUCUUCUUCACAAACAAUACUGGUGCUCCCCAGGGGGACACACUUGGCUUCACGAAACCUUUAUAAAGUAGGUCCUGCAACUGGGCCUUUAACUCUUUAAGCUCCACCGGUGCCAUUCUAUACGGAGCCUUUGAAACUGGCGCCGCACCGGAAAUCAAGUCAAUGUCGAACUCGACUUCCCGAUUUGGUGGUAGUCCCGGUAACUCUACAGGAAAUACGUCCGGGUAUUCACACACUACCCGAAUGUUCCCCAACUCCGGGCGCUCUUUUUGAGGGUCCACGAUGGUCGCCAAGUAAGCCUUGCAACCACCCUUGAUCAUCCUUUUCGCCCUCACCGUCGAUAUAGUCACCGCAAAACGCACGCCCUUACACGCUCGAUACUCAAACUCGUCUUGACCAGGCUCGCGAAAAGUGAUCACUCUACUGUCACAAUCGAUGCUGGCAUAGUACUUGGAGAGCCAAUUAACUCCCAAGAUAACAUCAAUGCCCCACAUCUGCUUAAGUACUAGCAAAUCCACCGGCAUAAUCCAGUCGCCGAUUUGAACCGGACAUGCUAGGCACUCGUCGUGGACUCUAAACGAGUGUUCCGGUGCGUUAACCCACCAAUAGUCAUAACUAUGUUCUAUGUCCAUGCCAUGUGUCUUAGCAAACGAGACAUCAAUGAAUGAAUGCGAUGCGCCCGUGUCAAAUAGCGCUCUUGCUCUAACACCAUUAAUCAAAAUAAUACCUGCCAUGACGUCGUCAGGUACGGCAGGCUGCUCCUCCACCUGAGUAGCGAAAACCCGUCCACUCCGUGCACGUGAUCCCUCCGGCUCUCGCGGUGAUGAAGCGCACCCAGCCGACAUGGCAGGUGGCAGUCCUGCGAGCUGUCGUGGAGCAUACUGAGCCGAAGCAGCUGACGAAGCCGGUGACGCGCCGCCCGGGCAAUCCCAUCUCAUGUGCCCCGCUUGGCCGCAUCGGAAACAUCUCCCGUCACGCUGAGGACAUUCACUCGGCCUAUGAUUCCCACCGCAAAUUACGCAUGGGUAGGAACUCAUCUGACUCCUUGUCUGGCUCCUAUCUCGCCGCCACUGCGAUCUAGGGUGCCGAGGGGGUCGCUUGGAACUCGACUGCCCCGCGGAACCACCAUCCGAUCACUUCUUAGACUUCUCCCUGUCCUUGUCCCUUUCAAACGCCUCGCGUUCCUCACGCGCAAUGGCGUUACCGCGCUCUAUCCAUAGCGCACGAUCAAGCACCUCUUCAUAGGUCUUCAGCCGAAGCGCCUGAACCAUCUUGAAUAUCUCCGGCCGCAACCCGCGCUCGAAGACCUCCGCCGGAUCUCGGUCACUAUGAACCAAGCCGGGAACGCAGUUAACCAUGUGCGAGAAUUCCCUUUCAUAUUCCCGCACCGUUUGGCUUCCCUGCCUCAACUUGCAAAAGUCCUCCUUGAUCUUCCGUUUGUCACUUUCCGGAAAGUACUCCAUUAGCAGAAUCUCCCGGAACGCCUCCCAAGUCAUAGUAGCCGGAUCCAAGGACCGACCACCCUUCACUCUCGUCCACCACGAUCGAGCCGGCCCCUCUAAACAGUGAGCCGCCAACCGAACCUUGUCCUUCUCGAGGGUGUAGAUGUCCUCGAAUAACGCCUCCAUCGUAGAAAGCCACGCCUCCAUCAACCAUGGGUCUUUCACAUCACCCACAAAGGUCGGAGGAUUAAACCGUUUGAAGGCCGUCAACACCGCCAACGACCGCUCCCGCUCGGCUUCAAGUACCUCCGGAAUAGGAGCCGAAGAACCUAAAGCUGUCGGAGGAAUAGCCGUCACCGGUGCCGCCGCCAUCGGCGCAGGUGAUAUAGGUGCAGGCGGGUCCUGAGGUACAGGUGCAGCCGCCGCCGCCUGUCGAGCCACCAACUCAUGGAGCUGUCCCAUUUGCUCCCCUUGCUGUCGCAUAGCCCCAGCCAAAGCUGCUACUUGGGCCCGCAACUCGCGAACUUCAUUAGAUCCAACCUGCUCUGGCACCUCAUCAGGCAAUGCCGGAGCGGUCCGUCGGGUAUAGCGUCUCGGUGACAUCUGUCCUGAAACGAAAUGCACACGUUAAUACUCGACAUUCAAGACUCUUACUCGUUUCCAAACAUCUACCCAAUCAAGCGAAAGCAAUCAAGUACGUUCACUUUCUACUCUCGGCAUUAUGUAGUCCUCCGCCCCACAUAAUACCUUGAAAGAAAACAACCGUCCCUUAAGUCCAUCUCUAUUUCCGUUUAGAGAAGUUCCAUAAGAACCCAAUCCAUUAGCCUUCGCAUAUCCAAGUCCACGUUAUACGUGUCUUAAUUCCUAAGGUCUCCGAUCCUAAGGUCCCUAAGUCCAUCCUAGACUUUUGCUUUCACAUUGCUCUGAUACCACCCUAUCUGUCACGCCCCAAGCUCCGCCAAUUUUGUCGGAUUCGAGCACGCAACAGACGCCGAACGGACAGUACCUCCCAUGUCCGCCCAAGGCUCCAACAACAAGUAUAAUGCAAGCAAAACCUCAAGGAGAAUUGUGAGAUAUACAAGCUUUGCACGAGGGCAAACAACAACUACAGUGAAAGCAUCGAAACUAAUUAAACAUCCAAUAUACAUGUCAUUUGAUUACAUUUGAAUCAAACACAAGUAGUUUAACACAUUUACAUUCAUUACAUUAUUUCUUGCAUUACCCAAAAUAAAAUUUACAUUAUAUCGGUUUUACCUUACAAUUUCAACAUAGAAAAGUUGAAUACAUCAAGAGUAGGGGAUGCCUAUGUAACUCCGGGGUCGCUAUCUACGGCGCGACUCCCUUGCCUCAAUCCUCUGCUGCCCCGCUCGUGUACGGAUCUGCAGGGUUAGUGGUAAUGAGAACUAGAACGAAGUUCCCAGUGGGUUCGGCCGCCGACCACGUCGAUUUGCCCACUAGGUCUAAUUCAGGCAUAUGUAUUUCAAUAAAGAAGAAUAACAAACCAACUAAUGUACUUCUAAUACAAUGCCUGCAAGAAACAAUUCAUAGAUAGAUAUUCAUAUUCAAAUACAUGAUUACUAUGCAUGCAUGUCCUUUUUCACUUUCCUUUGGCCGUUACCCAAUUCAACCUGGGGUGCUCCUGGUUUACCCCAAUUCACAGUCCACAUAUCCAUCUAACGGGGGAGGCAUAAGGCACUACCACCCGAAGGAUCUUCGCCGGGUAUGUCCACCCGUGGUGCAUUUCUUCUCCGAAAUACACCGCUCGUGGAGGAGAGACCUCACACAAGCCUGAACCAAUACAUGUGAGUAUGAUCCCAUCCUCAAAUUUUGAGGAGGUAUGGCUAACCUGUCACAAUUCUCACUGUCUCAAUGCCGCUGAAUGGUUAUUACCUAUUCAUGCACAUACUGUCACUUGCCAAUGUCACGGUGGUCCUGAUCCCACAACACAUAAUGUCACUUGGGUUAAACCUUGUUUAACUAUUCACUUAACGAUGUCAAUCAAGUCACUAAUGUCCAUGUUGCCUUUGUUUACUACGCUCACGGUCAUUUCUUACAUUCACAUGCAUAUAGGGUCUUUCACUAUCUUUCUUCACAUGGAUCUAUAUCAUUACAAUAAUCUUACGCAGAUAAUUGUCACAACCAACAUAUACUAUUCAUUACCCUACAUGCAAGAAUGCUAUAUAUCAACAUGCUCAAAAAGGGACAUAGACAUAGAAAGAGAUCUGGUGUUUUCGUAUAGCACCCCCCACCUUUAUGUGUCACAAAGAUGCCACGGUUCCGAUUCCACGAUUUUUAGACUUGUUCGCCGCGAGCAACGACGAUCUGUACUAUUUCUGCUUCUUUUUCCAAUAUCUUCGCGCACGCUCGUCGUAUCGCCGAACCGAGCGCACCGAUGCGUUUGUAGACCUACCAAUUAGGUUAAAAUGAGAUCACAACCAAGUUUGAAUCUCAAAAUCACAAAACCCUAAAUAUGGGUCCUUCACAACAUCACCUUCUCCAAUCAAGCCCCUAGCUUGACAAAACAUGGAGGAAAAGCCACCAUAGACCUCUCUAGAUGCUUCAACUAGAAGCAAAAAACCCAAACCUAGCUCAAACUCAUAAGAACUCACCUUUGGAGUCCAAAGCUUCCCUUUAAAAGCCUUCCCUAGCUUGCUCUUCACCUUGGAGAGCUUCUUCUCCAAGCUUUUCUCCUCCAAACCCUCCUUGGUCCAAGCCCUAGAGAGAGAGGGAGAGAGAGAGGAGAGGUUUUUAGAGAGAGAGAGGAAAAUGUUUAUGUUGAGGUGUGAGUAAAUGAGAGCUAACCCUAACCCUUAGCUCUAUACAACCAUCUCAUGCAACAUUUGCACUUAAACCCCUCUCAAUUUCAUAUUCGCAAACAGCCCUCAAUGGGCACUUUCGGGCUCGGGGACCGGUCUCUCCCCUUCAGGGACCGGUUCCCGAGAGCUGUCCUGCAACCUGCGCAGAAGGGGACCGGUCUCUCCCCGAUGAAACCGGUCUCCGGGGACCGGUCUCUCACCUAGGGACCGGUUCCCGAGAGCUCAGUUUCCAGGACUUAGCCGAUUUUUCCCUCUGCUCGGUUUACCAACGUUCGGGAACCGGUAUCUCACCCAAGGGACCGGACCCCGAGAGUAAAAUUCUGGGAAUUUUCCAGAAUUGCAGUUUCACUCUCUCGGGUCCCUUUAUACUUUAUAUAUAGGCUCCAAUUCACUUUUAGCCUAUAGUAACUCAUUCCUUUCCGUGUUCCGCUCGUUUUGACGGGACUCGGCUCAACCUACGGGGUAGUGAUACGUUACAUUCCCCACCCCUUAAAAUUGUUUCGGCCGCGAAACUAAUUCAAUCGUAAUUCAACAUCCAUACCUCAUCUUAGUUCCUCGAAGAGAUGAGGAUGACGUUCCUUUAUCACGUCCUCAAGCUCCCACGUUUCUUCUCUAUCGCCGUGUUCGCUCCAAUGGAUCUUAAGAUACGGAAUUUCUCGAUUCGGUAGCUUUCGCACCUCCCGAUCAAAAAUGUACGCCGGGAACUCCUCGUAGGUCAUAUCCUCUUGAUGUUCUGUCGGUAUAUACGAGAGAACAUGCUCCGGAUCGUGAACAUACCUGGGGAGAUUAGACACAUGGAACACAUCGUGCACCCCCGCAAGCCUCGGCGGUAAUGCUACUCUGUAGGCCACCGCGCCAACUCUUUCUAAGAUCUCGAAGGGUCCGACAAAUCGGGGACUUAACUUUCCCCGGACACCAAACCUCUUAACACCGCGCAUCGGCGAUACCUUCAGAAACACGCGGUCUCCAACCGCGAACUCGAUGUCCUUCCUUCGCUUAUCGGCAUAGCUCUUGUGCCUUGAUUGCGCCGUCACUAACCUUUGCCGGGCAAGACGAACUUUCUCCUCCGCCUCCCGAACAACUUCUGGGCCAAGAACAACUUUCUCGCCUACCUCGCUCCAAUGAAUUGGCGAGCGACACUUCCUUCCAUAUAGGGCUUCGAAUGACGCCAUUGUAAUACUUUCUUGAUAGCUAUUGUUGUAUGUAAAUUCCGCCAUCGAUAAGUAAUCGUGCCACCCUCCACGAUAGUCAAGGACACAUGCUCGCAACAUGUCCUCGAGUAUCUGAAUGGUCCUCUCAGAUUGUCCAUCACUCUGAGGAUGAAACGCCGUGCUAAAAUCGAGCCGCGUGCCUAGAGCAUCCUGCAAGCUCCUCCAUAAAUGAGAAGUGAACCGAGGAUCUCGAUCUGAUACGAUCGACACGGGAACCCCAUGUAGUCUCACUAUCUCAUCCAAGUAAACCUGGGCCAACUUAUCUCCUGACCACGUGGUGUGGAUCGGCAAAAAGUGAGCCAAUUUCGUCAAACGGUCCACAACCACCCAUAUGGCGUCAUGUCCAGCCUGCGAUCGGGGCAGCCCGACCACAAAGUCCAUCGCGACAUUCUCCCACUUCCAUACGGGGAUCAGUAAGCUUUGCAGCUUCCCCGCGGGAAAACGACGCUCGGCUUUUACUUGUUGGCACGUCAAACAUUGCGCCACGAAUUCUCCGAUGUCCUUCUUCAUACCCGGCCACCAAUAAUGCAACUUUAAAUCCUUGUACAUCUUAGUGCCGCCCGGGUGAAUACUAUACGGGAAAUGAUGCGCCUCUUGCAACACCAUCUUACGAAUCUCAUCGUCCUUGGGUACGCACAAUCGGUUCCUAAACCUAAGUGCACCAUCGGCUCCCACGCCGAAAUCACCGGCGCGCCCAUCACUAACAUUGUUCCGCACCUUUUGGAGAUACGGAUCAUCAACUUGCCGCUCCUUGAUUUGCUCCAACAAGGUCGGUCGAACUAUUAGUGCCGCCAAGAUAGUCGGAACUUCCGGCGCCACUACCUCCAAUCCAAAUCGCUGCAUUUCCUUAUGUAAUGCCGGCUGAUUUGUAAUCGCCGUCGCCAAGUUCUCAGCAGAUUUCCUACUCAGCGCAUCGGCCACCACGUUGGCUUUACCGGGGUGGUACAGGAUAGUUAGAUCAUAAUCCUUUAUCAAUUCCAGCCAACGCCGCUGCCACAUAUUCAACUCUUUCUGGGUGAACAAAUACUUGAGGCUUUUGUGAUCGGUAUAUACCUCACAAUGCUCACCAUAUAGAUAAUGCCUCCAAAGCUUCAGCGCGAAAACAACCGCCGCAAGCUCAAGAUCGUGGGUCGGGUAGUUCUUCUCGUAGCCUUUCAGCUGGCGCGAAGCAUACGCAAUGACUCGCCCAUUUUGCAUAAGAACACACCGUAGACCGGUGUAGGAAGCAUCACUAUACACCACGAAGCUCUCUCCCGGCGUUGGCAAAGCAAGUACCGGAGUAGACGUCAACUUCUUCUUCAACUCUUGGAAGCUUCGGUCGCAACCUUCGCUCCAAUCAAUCCUUACUCCUUUGUGAGUAAGGCGUGUGAGAGGAGUGGUCAACUUCGCAAACCCCUCAACAAAACGCCUAUAAUAGCCCGCCAAUCCAAGAAAACUGUGGACUUCCGCCACGCUCGUAGGAUGGGGCCAAUCUCGAAUCGCCUCUAUCUUCCUUGGGUCCACCGAGAUCCCACUCCCGGAUAUCACAUGGCCUAAGAAGGUCACCUCCGAAAGCCAGAAUUCGCAUUUCUUGAGUUUAGCAUAAAGGUUCUCAUCUCGGAUUAUUUGCAACACCAUCUUACGAAUCUCAUCGUCCUUAGGUACGCACAAUCGGUUCCUGAAUCUAAGUGCACCAUCGGCUCCCACGCCGAAAUCAGCGGCGCGCCCAUCACUAACAUUGUUCCGCACCUUUUAGAGAUACGGAUCAUCAACUUGCCGCUCCUUGAUUUGCUCCAACAAGGUCGGUCGAACUAUUAGUGCCGCCAAGAUAGUCGGAACUUCCGGCGCCACUACCUCCAAUCCAAACCGCUACAUUUCCUUAUGUAAUGCCGGGAGUUCACACAUCUUCUGAACUGCGUCCCGGACGUGGCGACGACGGAGCAAGAUCCAGCAGAUUACUUCGUGAGAGGACUCCGACCCGGCGUGUUUCGUAUGGUGCAUGCCUUCAAGUUUCAUACUUUCACGGAGGCUUUGGACCGUGCCUUAUGGGUCAAGCACGGGAAUGCCUGCGAGCAUGAGGACCGUGAGGUGUUCGAGAAGGAUAAGGGGAAGAAGCGACCGGGCGGUGGUUCGGGGGGACAAUCGAGUUCCAAAAGGCCCCCGAAAUAUCCACGAUCACAACCGAAGGGCCGCGGAGCGCAACGGUGUAUCUUUUGCGGCGGUGACCACCGACCCAGUAUCUGUGAUCAGCGCCGAGGAAAGUGCUUUAGAUGCAGGCAAGCAGGGCACAUCACACGCGACUGCCCUCAAGGAGGGGCUUUAUCUGCUCUAUCUGUUGCAUCAGCCCCGACAAUUUCGGCUCGUUAUGCAAUGCCACCUGCUGCGGCGUCGGCUGGACGUGCGGCGGCACCACGUCAACCUGAACCAGCACGAUCGUCUCCGAGCGGAAGGAUGUAUGCCACUCAAGUGCAAGAAGAGGAGCCCACCGAAGCCGAGGAGCGCAAUGUGGUAGCAGGUAUGGUGUUGGUUCAUGGUGUUCGAGCAAGAGCUCUUUUUGAUACUGGCGCCUCUCACUCGUUCAUUAACCGGUCGUUUGCACAAGUACAUGACAUUGAGAUUAGUCUCGGGGAGAAUGUGUGGCGUGUAGAAGGACCCGGACGAUCAUUCCUUGUUAGGAAGCGCUGUUUGGCAUGCCCAAUACAAGUAGGCGACUGGAUUAUGCCGGUCGACCUGUUGGUGCUAAAGAGGUUGAAAGAGUUCGACGUUAUAUUGGGCAUGGACUGGCUCUCGAAGUAUUAUGUGUCUAUUGACUGUAAGACUAGAGUGAUCACAUUUCGGGAGCCGGGACACGAGGAGUUCACGUAUCGAGUUUGCAAGAGUUCGUGCUUCACCGCGACGGUGUCGGCGACAAGAGCGAGGAAGCUAGUUAAUAGCGGUUGUACGGCUUACUUGGCGACCGUUAUGGAAGUUGACCGAGUGGUGCCGGCUCUAGAAGAGUUAGAGGUUGUGCGAGAGUUUCCGGACGUGUUUCCUACGGAGUUACCGGGGAUGCCGCCGGACCGGGAAAUUGAGUUUAUGAUAGACUUGCUUCCCGGGACCGCGCCGAUAUCCAAGGCCCCGUAUUGCAUGGCGCCGGCUGAGUUAAGGGAGUUGAGGGAUCAGUUGCAGGACCUCCUCGACAAGGAGUUCAUUAGGCCGAGCAUGUCACCGUGGGGAGCCCCAGUAUUGUUUGUGCACAAGAAGGAUGGAUCUUUUCGACUUUGCGUGGAUUACCGCGAGUUGAAUAAGGUCACUGUGAAGAACAAGUACCCGUUACCCCGUUACCCCGCAUCGACGACUUGUUUGAUCAAUUAUAGGGGUCGCGAGUGUACUCGAAGAUUGACCUCCAAUCCGGCUACCAUCAAUUGAAGAUUAAGUCGGAGGAUGUUCCGAAGACCGCGUUCUGCACGCGGUAUGGACACUACGAGUUCACCGUGAUGCCGUUUGGGCUUACAAAUGCCCCGGCCGCGUUCAUGAGCUUGAUGAACCGAGUGUUCAGGCAGUGCUUAGACCGAUUUGUCGUAGUUUUUAUAGACGACAUCUUGGUCUAUUCGCGCGAUGAAGAGGAGCACGCAGAGCAUUUGCGCACCGUACUUCAAAUCCUUCGGGAGAAGAAGUUGUACGCAAAGUUGAAGAAGUGUGACUUCUGGCUCCGGGAAGUUACUUUUCUCGGGCAUGUUGUUUCCGAGGGCGGUGUUUCUGUUGACCCGAGAAAAAUAGAGGCUAUUGAGAAUUGGCCGCGCCCGACGAAUGUCGCUGAGGUCCGAAGUUUUGUGGGCCUAGCACGUUAUUACCGACGGUUUGUGGAGGGCUUCUCGAAGAUCGUGACUCCACUCACCCGUCUGACGCAGAAGGGCGAAGAUCGUGACUCCACUCACCCGUCUGACGCAGAAGGGCACCCGAUUUAUUUGGAGCGACGAGUAUGACCGGAGUUUUAAAGAGUUGAAGGAGAGGUUAACUUCAACUCCGGUACUCGCCUUACCGGUGCAGGGUGACGAUUAUGUAGUGUAUAGCGACGCAUCCUAUCUGGGUCUGGGGUGUGUACUGAUGCAAGGCGGGAGGGUCAUUGCUUAUGCAUCCCGUCAGUUGAAAAGCUACGAGAAGAACUACCCCAUACAUGAUUUGGAAUUGGCGGCGGUGGUCUUUGCUCUGAAGCUUUGGAGACACUAUCUGUAUGGUGCUCAUUGCGAGAUCUACACCGACCAUAAGAGUUUGAAAUACUUGUUUACCCAGAAGGAGCUGAACAUGCGGCAACGGCGGUGGUUAGAAUUGCUUAAGGAUUGCGAUGUUGAUAUCCUUUACCACCCCGGGAAAGCGAAUGUAGUCGCAGACGCGCAUAGUCGGAAGUCGGCGGAGAACCUCGCUUUAUGGGUUACAAGCCAGACGCCCCCGCAGUUGCAAAUGGGGAAGAUGGAUCUCGAGGUGGUGGCUCCGAAAAUUUCGGCUAGGUUGACGACGUUGGUGGUCCAACCGACCUUAUUGGAGAGGAUCAAGAAUCUACAGUCGGCGGACCCGAAGCUCCAGAAGGUGCGGCACCAUGUUGAAAGUGGCCGUGGCGGAGAUUUCAGCAUGGAUGCAAGUGGUGCAGUACGGUUUCGAAACCGGUGGUGUGUGCCAAAUGACGAGGAGCUUCGCAAGUUGAUUUUGCAAGAAGCGCAUUGGUCACCUUAUGUCGACCACCCGGGCGGCACCAAGAUGUUUCACGAGCUGAAGACACUAUAUUGGUGGCCGGGAAUGAAGACUGAUAUUGGGCGCUUCGUGGCGAAGUGUUUAGUAUGCUAACAAGUGAAGGCGGAGCGUCGAUUUCCAGCGGGGAAAUUUCAGAGUUUAUCUAUUCCCGUCUGAAAAUAGGAUGACAUAUCGAUGGACUUCAUCGUUGGCUUACCUCGUUCGACAGGUGGCCACGACGCAAUUUGGGUGAUUGUGGAUUGUUUGACGAAAUCAGCGCACUUUCUGCCGAUCCACAACACUUGGGCAGGUGAGAAGCUAGCGCAGGUGUAUCUUGAUGAGAUUGUGAGGCUACAUGGGGUGCCGAAGUCGAUUGUAUCAGAUCGAGACCCCAAGUUCACUUCACACUUUUGGAGAAGCCUGCAGGAAGCCCUUGGCACGCGACUCGAGUUCAGUACCGCCUUUCAUCCUUAGACUGAUGGACAGACAGAGAGAACCAUUCAGACCCUGGAGGAUAUAUUGCGGGCGUGUGCCAUUGAUUACAAGGGGAAUUGGUGUAACACCUGCCGAUGGCCGAAUUCGCCUACAACAACAGCUGUCACGCGAGUGUGGGGAUGGCACCAUUCGAGGCUCUUUAUGGGCGGAAGUGCCGAUCUCCCAUUCAUUGAAGUGAUGUGGGCGAGCGGGCAGAGUUCGGUCCAGACGUGUUGCGAGAAGCGGAGGAGAAAGUCCACCUUGCUCGCAAGAGAUUGCUUACGGCGCAAUCUCGACAGAAGAGUUAUUCGGAUAAGCGCCGUAGAGACUUAGAAUUCGCGGUGGGUGACCGCGUGUUCUUGAAAGUUUCGCUGAUGAGAGGCGUGAAAAGGUUUGGGGUGCGAGGAAAGUUGAGUCAUCGUUAUGUUGGCCCUUAUGAGAUUUUGGAGCGGAUUGGGACGGUGGCUUACCGGCUUGCGUUGCCACCCAAGCUUGCGGGUGUGCACAAUGUAUUCCACGUCUCCAAUCUCCGCAAGUAUGUGCAUGACCCUGAGCACGUCUUGGUCUACGAGCCACCGGAAUUACAGGAAGAUAUGAGUUACGAAGAGUUUCAGGUGGAGAUCCUAGCUCGAGAAGUACGCAAGUUGAGAAGUCGCGAAAUUCCUUAUGUUCGAGUCCGGUGGAGCAAUCAUGGCGAUCGCGAAGCCACCUGGGAGCUCGAGGAGGAGAUGAAAGCGAAUCAUCCUCACUUAUUUGAAGGUUGAGCUGAGGUAUGGAUCUAGAGUUUAAAUUCUGGAUGAAUUUAGUAUCGUUGAGUUCGUUUUGAGGACGAAACUCUUUUAAGGUGGGGAGAAUGUAAGGAAAGUGAAUUCUCGAAAUCCGGGGAUUAGACUUCGUUGGGAAUCGACUGAUUGUCGAGUGUGUAAGCUUCGGAAAGUCCGAAGGUAGUAGUAAUGCGUAAAGUGCAUUAAGGAAAGGUCCGCGAGAGCACCAGUGCAAAAGCUGCACUGGAGCAGAAAUGCUCUCGGGGACCGGUCCCUGGCGAGGAGGGACCGGUCCCAUUGGGCUGGGCUGCGGGGGUCUUUGAUGAGACCGGUCCCUGGCAGGUAGGGACCAGUUCCCGAAUGUUAGCCCAGCGAGAAUUAGCCGAAAUUUGGCUAAGUCCCGAGAACCCAGCUCUCGAGAACCGGUCUCUCAGACAGGGACCGGUCUCCUAGGGACCUGUCUCGCAGGCAGGGACUGGUUCCCGAACGCGAAAUCCCUUCUGCCUGGUUGUGCAACUCUCGGGGACCGGUCUCCCCGACCUGGGACCGGUCCCUCACUACGAAAAUGGCCCAGGGAGGGCUGUUUCAGGAAAUAGAAAGUUGAGGGGGCUAUCUGCAAAAUAGCCUAUAUGAGGGCUUGGGGACCCCUCUCUUCCUCUUAUUUGCUCUCUCUCCCUUUCACACUCUUUCCCUCUCUCUCUCUAGAAAGGAAAAGAAGGAAAAGAAGAAGGAAAUGAAGAGAAAGGAGAAGAAAGAAGAGGAGAGGAAGAAGAAGAAGUAGGAGAAGAAGAAGACAAAGGUGGAGAUCACCUUCCUCAUCUACUUCUUCUUCUUGGACUAAGCUUUUGAAGGUAAGCUUCUAGCCCUACAAUAGUGGAUUUCUUACAAUAGGGUUUUAUUGUCACGCCCCGGGACCCGGCAUAGGCCCGUCCGGUGCGCGCCCAGACCCGCCAUAUGUCUACACAUAUAAGGCAUCUACACAAAAGCGGAAGAGUAAGGCAUGAGAAGAUCUACAACUAAAGAUAUCAGAGCAAGUAUAUAGCUAGGUUCUAACAUCAGGUAGAAUCAAAAGAAAAUCAUACUACUAAAGCAUAAGGUAAACUGAUACAUCAUAAAUCACAAGAUACAAAAAUAGGGUGGUUUCUACAAUCAGGUACAAAACUCUCACAACCUCUCCAAAAGAAAACAAAAGGGAGGUGGACCACCUAACGCCAAGACCCUCGAUAGCUAACUCGAGGCGAAACCUUUCCCGCGAUCCCGAGCCUCUCCCGGAGUGGAAGGCACUGAAGGAAAACAUAAAACAGGGGGCGUGAGAACUAUAAUUUAUAGUUCCCAGUGGGCAAUUACUGACCUGCACCAAAUCGCACCACUUGGCCCCAAACGAGCAAAUAAUGAUAAUAGAUAAUAUCAACAGUAAUUGAAGCAUGAAAUUAAAAUGCUACUCUACUAUGCCACAAGUAUUCUGAAUGUCAACAUGGAGUACAUCUACUCUACAUGAUCCAAUAUGCCCAAAACUUAAACAAUGUGUCGUGAUGCAACAAGUAAUGCUAUAAAGUGUGAUAUGUAUAUUCCAGAGCCCACUACAUAUCUAGUAUGUACUAUCCUGGCAGCAAGGUGUACUACAAUGCAAUAAGCGAUAAUGUCAAGUACACUAAAUAUCCCAAAAGUCCAACCCUAUGCCAUAGCAUGUCAAGAAAAUCCAACUACUAUAACCUAUCUAGUAGUGAUUGUCAACUUGUUGUUUAGUAUUCUGGUUCAAUCUCAUUCAGGAUCUACACGGGUGUAGUCCGGCUUGUGCCGCCUAAGUGCCAGUGGUAGCUCCAGCAUUCCCACUCUAGGAAUGAGUCUAUCCCUCCAGGCCCCGUAGGCUACUCGAUACCGCACGGGCGAACAUAAGUCGCGUAGGCUAACUCCGGAGUGCCGGCUUGUGGGGAGCGACCCUCACAAGCAUGUGCGUAUGAGCACAAAUGGCAAGCAAGCAUGGUCAAAACCUCAAUAGUCCAAUCGUCAUGUCUCCAAAAUGGAAAUGCAACUCAACAGUCAUCAUGUCUCUAACAUGGAAAUGCACACUAGCAACCUCAGUGUCUAGUCUAUGCCUCAAAUGAAGGUUUAACCGUUCGAUAAUUCCAUGUCAAUGACCUUGGCUUUACUAAGUCCAAGACUCAAGGUGAAGUUCCCACAUUCACUAUGUUUAGUGCCUCUUUAUGACACUUAAACAUUGCUAUAAUCUAAGCUCAAUUCACAUUUUAUGUCUCUUUAUGACGCUAGCUUGUUCUAUCGAUAAUAGAUUAAUACACAUGCUCUCUAGCGUGUUCUCAUAUGGUUACAUGUAAGUUCUUUCCAAUGCGACUAUUAACUUGGCAUAAUUCUCAUAAUAAUAGCAUGCACAUGCAAUUUGCAUAACCAUCAAGUCUAAUGCCGCUUUAUGACAUUAGCUUGCUAAACUCAUAUCUAGUCCAAGCCUAAUGCCGCUUAAUGUCGAUAUGUCCAACCAUGUCACUCAUGCGUUCUAAGUCCAAGAGUGUAAUCUAUAUGCCAUAUGUACCAUAUGCAACAUGAUCUCAAUCAAUUGUAAGAAUGCUAACCGUAGGCCCCUAGCCCAACAUGAAAACUCUCUACUAUAUAGAGGUUCGAAAAUACAUUAUACAUAACGUGCGUAUUUUAAGCAUUCUAAAAUUCACAAUUGAUCUAUCUAGCAUGAAUAUGCAUGCAUUUUCAUUUUACGACAAAUAAAACCAUCAUAAGAGAAUUUUGUUUCAUUUGGUGAGGCCAAACCCACCAAAAUCGAAACCUUCGUUUCGCCGAACGGAGGUGCCCACAAGACUCCUAGUACCCUAGAAGCAUCAAAACGAGGGUUACUCAAACGAAACGAACAACCCAAAACUCAAACAUUAACCAUCAAGGCAAAAAGGGCUAAAAUCUCACCUAAGUGUAGAAAAUCCCUUUUAAGCUCCAAAUGGAAGCUAGAUCCCUUCCAAUGCAACCUAGAUAAAGGUUCUAAUCCAAUCAAUUGGGCUUCAAAAGCCUCUAAUCAAAAAUCCCCAAAACAAACCCUAAAUACCCAUUUCUAGGGUUUGUACACAAAAAUCAUGAUCAAAAGGAAAUUAGUAAGUAACUAACCUCAAGAGAAGCUCCAAACCACCCUAGAAAUCAGCUAGGGUUGAGCUCCUACCCUUCUACAAGCUCCAAACACCAAGCCCAAACUUCUCCCUUGGGGGAAAAGCCACCAAAAUGCAAAAAGAGAGCAAAAGGAGAGUUUAAUCCUCAACAACCCAACAUAAAUCAAAGGGAAACAAAGAGGGAGAAAAGAGAGCUCCCUUACCUUGCUCUCCCUGCCUCCAAGCUCAGGGAACACCAAAGGGGGCGUGGGGUAUGUUAAUUAUUAUUUGGCUACAGAUAGGCAAAAAAACACCCCUGCAGCAAAACUGCAGAAAUUCUGCCUCCUUGUACGGUACACAGGGCUCUUGUACGGUACAAGGCGACGAAAUCGCAAACCCGAGGCUCGGGUCGCGCGUCUGCGGCUCUGUACCGGUACAAGCCCGAUGGCUGUUACGGUAACACCAUCAACCUUGUACGGUACAGGCAAGUCUUGUUCCGCGUACAACCCUGCUGCAGGCUACCGCGAGAGCUGUCCAAAAAUUCCGAUUUUGGAAUUUUUGGUGCCAAGUCCCACUCCAACAUCCUCGGGAUGCGUGCCAGGGGUCGGGACACUAUCAGAACCACAGAAAAAAAUCUGGAAAAGCUCAGGACACAGUCCAAACACUCGAACCUCGCAAUUUUGCAAAGGUCCAGUGUGUUACAUUAUAGUUUAGAAAUGAUUUCGAAUGGAACCUAUUGAGGUCCGAGCUCGAAAUCGAAGCUCGUACGCGGAUUUCUCUAUUGUUGAGACCUAGGGCUCAGAAUUGGGAUUUUGCCAAAUCUAGGGUAUUUGAUCUAAUUUGAUGGGUCGCAAACCUA